UAUUAGUUACUCUCACCUUCCCAUUGACCGUCCUUAUUUAAAACAUUUUUGUGAUUAAUAUUUUUAUUAUUAUUAGAUGAUAAAACAUGAAUAAUAUUUUAUGUAUGGCUUAUUUUUUUUAUUUUUUUCAUAUUUUUUUAAAUAAGACGGGCAAUCAAGCGUUGUAUAUGUAAACCACAACUACAUUUAAA
rfam:Oryza sativa Japonica Group DNA, chromosome 6, cultivar: Nipponbare, complete sequence.